CCUUCUCUGUGACUUUCUUGCUUAGGGUUCUCUGAUUUUCAUGUCUAUGGCGCUUUAUAGGCCUAAUUGUUCAUCAUUUACAUAAUAUUAUGCUGAUUUUGUGCAUCUCUGUGAAUCCUUGAUUUUUAUGUGUUUUCCUUAGAAGUUUUAUACUGAUUUUUGAAUUACUUCCUUAUUUAUGAUACCCAUUCCUUAUUUAGAACUAAUUCCCUGUCAUUUACGUCUCAUCCGUGAUUCUUUGACUAAUUUUCAUGAUUAAUUUACAUUUUCUUCCAUACUUAGGCGUGUGAACAUGCUUUCAAAUAUUCAGUAUAUAUUUUCCUUACUUGAAUUAUUGUGUAUUUAGCCCUUUUUACAUAUUACAUGCCUCACUACUCCUAAUAUGGUAGAUACAGUAGUCUAAUGGAUUCCUUUCCUUUUAAAACAACUGCUUGUUACCGUUUGACUUUGAUUCCUUAAUUAAAGGGGACACUUUAUGCUGAUUUGAUUAUGAUUGAUACCCAGUUCCUUAAUUAUGGAUUGCUGCCUUGUUUGUUUACUCGUUUUCACUACUAUAAGUACCCACAUUCUCUUUUUCAUAAGACACGAACACAUUGCAUAUCACACACACUCAAAGACACGCAUUCAAUCUCUCAACACGCUCUUUCAAAACACUUAGUGCUCUCUUUCUUUCUCUAUUGUUUCUAUACAUACUCUCUCAUUCUUCUAUUGAACACUCAGUCGGCUGAAAGCUAAGAUUGAGUAAUCUUGGUUGUUUAUUUCUACUUCUGGGGUUCUACUGCAUUGUUUACUUAGGUUUGCCUGCUGCUUACUUCUCUGCACACUACUACUCUCAUUAUUUGCACACUCUCUGCACACUUUGCUCUCCUUGGGGCAUUAUUGCUCAUUGCUAUUGUGUUCCAUUAUCUGCAACUGGUAUGUCACCUAUUUAAGAUGCAGCUUCCAAAACAACAUGCUUCUACUAGUUUUUCCCUUCAUCUUGUUACUUUUGUGCUUUUACCUAUGGUUCUAUUGCUCUUAUUACCACCAGCAUGUAUUUAUUAGUCUGCCUAGUUUGACUUAGCAUGUUCCCUGCCCCUUCUCUGUCUCAAUGUAUGUUUUCCUCUUCCUUGUGCGCUAUUAGCAUGUAUCCAGGACCUGUUUGGCUACUUGAUUAGCCUGAAACCUCUUCCUGAGGUUGUUUAUGGUUGGGAGUUUUGUCCAGUAAGAACUGGACUCCUCAUAUGCCAUGUCUGAUUCCAUUUCUUGGAUAUGUUAUACAUAUAUGAGUAGUUUCCUUGCUUAUUUUUUCCCUUCCCCUUUGCCCCUGCUUGUGUGAUUCUCUUGUUUUGAAACUGGUCAGUCCAAAUGAAUUUCAAUUGAACUCUUUCAACUCUCCUUACUGUUUUCCCCUCAAACUGUUUUCAACUCUAUCACAAUCUCACUACUCUUAGAACUUAGGUUCAACCCCCUUAGUGUAAGCAUUGCCUUAGGAGCUUUGAGCACCCACUGAACUUUGAUGCACAAGGCUGGCACUUCCACACUCGCACUUGUCAAUGAUGAUAUAUUCUGGAUGCCUGGUAUUGGCCAGGGGUUCAGACGAACCCUUAGAGAACUUUGUCGCACCAAAUCCUUGGUAAAGGCUGUGAAACUCGCUAGAAGUGAGGUUGGAGAUUUUGGGCCUGGCUGAAGGGUCCCUAAUGAAUAACUUCUUAUUCUUUUCACUGUUGUAAUUUAAUUAAUU
rnacentral:lncRNA from 1 species